GACGAACGCUGGCGGCGUGCCUAAUACAUGCAAGUUGAGCGCUGAAGGUUGGUACUUGUACCAACUGGAUGAGCAGCAAACGGGUGAGUAACGCGUGGGGAAUCUGCCUUUGAGCGGGGGACAACAUUUGGAAACGAAUGCUAAUACCGCAUAAAAACUUUAAACACAAGUUUUAAGUUUGAAAGAUGCAAUUGCAUCACUCAAAGAUGAUCCCGCGUUGUAUUAGCUAGUUGGUGAGGUAAAGGCUCACCAAGGCGAUGAUACAUAGCCGACCUGAGAGGGUGAUCGGCCACAUUGGGACUGAGACACGGCCCAAACUCCUACGGGAGGCAGCAGUAGGGAAUCUUCGGCAAUGGACGAAAGUCUGACCGAGCAACGCCGCGUGAGUGAAGAAGGUUUUCGGAUCGUAAAACUCUGUUGGUAGAGAAGAACGUUGGUGGGAGUGGAAAGCUCAUCAAGUGACGGUAACUACCCAGAAAGGGACGGCUAACUACGUG
rnacentral:rRNA from 1 species